AGUCGUAACAAGGUCUCCGUAGGUGAACCUGCGGAGGGAUCAUUACACAAAUAUGAAGGCGGGCUGGAACCUCUCGGGGUUACAGCCUUGCUGAAUUAUUCACCCUUGUCUUUUGCGUACUUCUUGUUUCCUUGGUGGGUUCGCCCACCACUAGGACAAACAUAAACCUUUUGUAAUUGCAAUCAGCGUCAGUAACAAAUUAAUAAUUACAACUUUCAACAACGGAUCUCUUGGUUCUGGCAUCGAUGAAGAACGCAGCGAAAUGCGAUAAGUAGUGUGAAUUGCAGAAUUCAGUGAAUCAUCGAAUCUUUGAACGCACAUUGCGCCCUUUGGUAUUCCAAAGGGCAUGCCUGUUCGAGCGUCAUUUGUACCCUCAAGCUUUGCUUGGUGUUGGGCGUCUUGUCUCUAGCUUUGCUGGAGACUCGCCUUAAAGUAAUUGGCAGCCGGCCUACUGGUUUCGGAGCGCAGCACAAGUCGCACUCUCUAUCAGCAAAGGUCUAGCAUCCAUUAAGCCUUUUUUUCAACUUUUGACCUCGGAUCAGGUAGGGAUACCCGCUGAACUUAAGCAUAUCAAUAAAGUAAAAGUCG
rnacentral:rRNA from 1 species